AUCGAACGCUGGCGGCAGGCCUAACACAUGCAAGUCGAGCGAGCGGCGGACGGGUGAGUAAUGUAUGGGGACUGCCCGAUAGAGGGGGAUAACUACUGGAAACGGUGGCUAAUACCGCAUACUAUCGGAUAACCCAUAUGGGAUUAGCUAGUAGGGGGGGUAAAGGCUCACCGAGGCGACGAUCUCUAGCUGGGCUGAGAGGAUGAUGAGCCACACUGGGACUGAGACGCGGCCCAGGCUCCGACGGAGGCAGAGGUGGGGAAUAUUGCAAGAUGGGCGCAAGCCUGAUGCAGCCAUGCCGGGUGUAUGAAGAAGGCCUUCGGGUUGUAAAGUACUUUCAGUCGGGAAGCGUUACCGACAGAAGAAGCACCGGCUAACUCCGUGCCAGCAGCCGCGGUAAUAC
rnacentral:rRNA from 1 species